AUACGGAGGGUGCAAGCGUUAUCCGGAUUUAUUGGGUUUAAAGGGUGCGUAGGCGGUUUGAUAAGUCAGCGGUGAAAUAUUUCAGCUUAACUGGAAGGGUGCCGUUGAUACUGUCGAGCUUGAAUUUAGUUGCUGUGGGUGGAAUGUGUGGUGUAGCGGUAAAAUGCAUAGAUAUCACACAGAAUAUCGAUUGCGAAGGCAGCUCACAAAGCUAAUAUUGACGCUGAUGCACGAAAGUGUGGGGAUCAAACAGGAUUAGAUACCCUGGUAGUCCACACUGUAAACGAUGAUAACUCGCUGUCGGCGAUACAUAGUCGGUGGCCAAACGAAAGCGAUAAGUUAUCCACCUGGGGAGUACGACCGCAAGGUUGAAACUCAAAUGAAUUGACGGGG
rnacentral:rRNA from 1 species